AAGACCUUGCGCUUUUGGAGCGGCCGAKGCCUGAUUAGCUUGUUGGUAAGGUAAAAGCUUACCAAGGCUUCGAUCAGUAGCUGGUCUGAGAGGACGACCAGCCACACUGGGACUGAGACACGGCCCAGACUCCUACGGGAGGCAGCAGUGGGGAAUUUUGGACAAUGGGGGCAACCCUGAUCCAGCCAUGCCGCGUGAGUGAAGAAGGCCUUCGGGUUGUAAAGCUCUUUCAGCCGGAACGAAACGGUUACGGUUAAUACCCGUGAUUACUGACGGUACCGGAAGAAGAAGCACCGGCUAACUACGUGCCAGCAGCCGCGGUAAUACGUAGGGUGCGAGCGUUAAUCGGAAUUACUGGGCGUAAAGCGUGCGCAGGUGGUUUUGUAAGUCAGAUGUGAAAGCCCCGGGCUCAACCUGGGAACU
rnacentral:rRNA from 1 species